GGUGCCGGAGCAACACCCGUGCGGUGGUGGUCCUCGAAUUGGCUCGUUCCCCGGUGGACGCGCGCAAUCAUCGCGAGUCACCGCGAUCGUUCGAAGCGGCAGGUAUUCCGAUAAUAAAGAGGAAAACUGUUCAAGGCGGUUCGAAAGAAAAUUUGAAACCAGAUCCUCGCAAUUGAAACACGUGCGCGAUUCUUGUGAGCAACAACCAACAGGAUCAGCCUUCUUCCGAAGGAAGAAAACUGGACUCUGUGAGGACCAGUUGAAAAUUUGCCGAAGUGAAGUUCCUACGAGGGAACCGAAAAAAGACAGAUAGUUGGAACGAAUGGAAACGUCAUUGACAAGUUAACUGACGUCAAAUCAAAUCGACUUAUUAAAAAAGAGACUGCGAAACUUCAGUCGCGAGUUAAUUGUUCGGUAACUGGACAAUUAGAGAAUCGUCGCGUGAAACAGCGUCGCUGGAUAAUUUCCCUGACACGUCGUGUGGUGACUUUAAUUCAUUUUUCGAGGAAACGCAGCCUGGGCGUGUCGAAGUUUCGUCGAAAAUUCCCAUCGUAUUCUUCAAUCAGCAAACAGACUUUUCUCCCCCACUCUUCGAUUAUCAAUUUCAAACUUAUGGCGGGUUUGAGAUAAGAGCAACUACAAGCGGCCUUCGAGGUCGGAUUGAGGCCGAAUGGAAGCGCUGGACCAGGGCUUCGACACCUUCGGCACGGCCGGCAUGAUGGACGGCACGAACGCGUGGUUGCCGCGCAUCGUGGACAACGCCACGUACAGCACCAUUGUCGACGCGGAAGUGUCGAGAUUCCCGAAGCCUUUGAGGAUCUUCGCCGCAGUGAUGGCGAUCGCCAUUAUGAUUAUUGGUCUAGCCGGUAAUCUAUUGACUAUCGUUGCUUUAUGUAAAUAUCCCAAAGUUCGCAACGUUGCGGCGGCCUUUAUCAUAAGCUUGUGCAUCGCGGACUUCGUAUUCUGUCUGCUGGUGCUGCCGUUCGAUUCCAUCAGGUUCAUCAACGCCAGCUGGGCGGACGUACGAUUCCUCUGCGUUUUCGUGCCCUUUUUGCGGUACGGCAAUGUCGGCGUCAGUCUCCUGUCUGUCGCGGCAAUCACUAUCAAUAGAUAUAUUAUGAUAGCACACCACGCUAUUUAUAGUAGGGUUUACACGAAAUACUGGAUAGCCACAAUGAUAGUCUUCUGCUGGCUAUUCUCUUACGGGAUGCAAAUACCUACGCUAGCGGGAGUGUGGGGUAGAUUCGACUACGAUCCCAAUCUGGAGACUUGCUCCAUCGUCAAGGACCGUCAUGGCCGCACUUCCAAGACAUUCCUCUUCAUUAUGGGGUUCCUGAUACCUUGCGUGGUGAUCGUCGGCUGUUACGCCAAGAUAUUCUGGGUGGUGCACAAGUCAGAAUCGCGAAUGCGAAAGCACGCUGCACCCACGAUAAAGUCACCUCACACGCCCGGGAGGGAUAUCAGAGAGCUCAAGCAGAAACGCAGUGAAUGGAGGAUCACGAAAAUGGUGUUGGCCAUCUUUCUCAGUUUCCUCGCGUGCUACUUACCGAUCACCAUCGUCAAGGUGGCCGACGCGGAAGUCAGGUGUCCUGAGUGUCACAUUCUGGGAUAUCUGCUGCUGUACUUCGCGUCGUGCGUGAACCCGAUCAUCUACGUGAUCAUGAACAAGCAGUACAGACAGGCGUACGCCGGCGUGAUCGGCUGCUCGUGGAUAAGGGCGGGCCUUACGCCGUACGGUAGCAGCGCGCCGGGUGGUGCCGGCGGCUUUCAGGCUCAUCAGCAUGACUACGCCCAAGGUAACUUCGAGCAACGACACGCGGUAACGCUCACCAAACUCUGACCGAACGCGUGACCUAAGCGACCACUCGCUCACUUCGUAAGUCAAGGGCACCACAAGUUUGCUGCUUUUCGUUUUUGAUCGCUGGCCUUCGGUACCGCUGCUGAACCUUGAGCCGUAUGAGCAAGCGGCGUUAAAUCGCCGCGAUCGUCGCUGGAUGCUUCCGCAGCUUCGAUUGUCGUUACAAUGAACAAUGUGCUAACAAAAUCCUCGUAUUUUUUUUAUUGCAAUUUGCUGAAUUUACUUAAUUUACUUAAUUACUAAAUACAGUCCUAAUCUUCAUUACUGAUUUCUAAUUAAUGACUAAAACUAAAUUAUAUUAACACUUAGAACAAAACUAUGGGAACUUAGAACAAAACUUUGAUUGUAAACUUAAUUGUUUUUCUUUAAAUUUAUUUAUUAUUAUAUAUAUAUUUUUUAUUAUUAUAUGUAUAUUACUAUAUUAGACGUAAUAAAAUAAAAAUCUGUAAUUAUGCUUAAAAAUAA
rnacentral:misc_RNA from 1 species